UCCCGCUCCCGCCCCGGCGCGGCGCUGGCUGCGCUCCGCGGGGCUGCGCCCGCCCCCGGUGCUGCGCGGAGCCCGCUUUGUGCCGGCAGCUGCGGCGAGAACUACCCGCAAGCCAUGGAAGAGUUAAUAGUUGAGCUUCGCUUGUUUCUUGAACUUCUGGACCAUGAAUAUCUAACUUCAACUGUCAGGGAGAAGAAGGCAGUAAUAACUAACAUUCUCCUGAGGAUACAGUCAUCAAAAGGUUUUGAAAUAAAAGAACAUGUGCAGAAACCAGAAGUUGCCAACAGUUUGCCAGCACCUCCUCAAAUGCCUCUGCCAGAAAUACCUCAGCAGUGGCUGCCACCAGAUAAUGGGCCUCCACCAUUGCCAACAUCUUCCCUUCCUGAAGGCUAUUAUGAAGAGGCAGUACCACUUAGUCCUGGGAAGGCUCCUGAGUACAUCACUUCCAAUUAUGACUCGGAUGCCAUGAGCAGCUCUUAUGAAUCCUAUGAUGAAGAGGAAGAGGAUGGAAAGGGGAAGAAAAUGAGACAUCAGUGGCCUUCUGAGGAGGCCUCUAUGGAUCUGGUGAAGGAUGCCAAAAUCUGUGCCUUCCUGCUUAGAAAGAAACGAUUUGGGCAAUGGACCAAACUACUGUGUGUUAUCAAAGAAAACAAACUACUGUGUUACAAAAGUUCCAAGGACCAGCAGCCACAGAUGGAGCUGCUCCUGAAUGACUGCAGCAUCACGUAUAUCCCCAAAGACAGCAAAAAGAAGAAGCACGAGCUGAAAAUCUCGCACCAAGGAGCAGAUGCACUGGUUCUGGCAGUACAGAGCAAAGAGCAGGCAGAACAGUGGCUAAAGGUUAUAAAAGAUGUGUGCAGCAACUGUACAGGCACUGUAGACUCCGAUGGGCCAUUGUCUAGUUCUCCAGUACACAAGACAGAACUGGAAAAGAAGUUGUCAUCUGAGAGGCCAAGUUCAGAUGGGGAGGGUGCUGUGGAAAAUGGCGUCACUACGGUGUGCAAUGGAAAAGAACAAGUGAAGAGGAAAAAAAGUUCAAAAUCAGAAGCCAAGGGCACUGUGACGAAAGUAACAGGGAAAAAGAUAACGAAGAUCAUAGGUUUAGGAAAGAAAAAGCCAUCAACAGAUGAACAGACCUCAUCAGCUGAAGAAGAUGUUCCAACAUGUGGAUAUCUCAAUGUGCUCUCAAAUAACCGUUGGCGUGAGCGCUGGUGCCGAGUGAAAGAUAAUAAACUCAUUUUCCACAAGGACAGGACAGAUCUGAAGACACACAUUGUUUCUAUCCCUCUCCGUGGCUGCGAAGUCAUCCCAGGACUGGAUUCAAAGCAUCCCCUGACCUUCCGGCUGCUUCGAAAUGGGCAGGAGGUUGCUGUGCUUGAGGCAUCCUCCUCUGAAGACAUGGGCAGAUGGAUAGGGAUGUUGCUGGCAGAAACAGGAUCUUCAACAGACCCUGGAGCUCUGCACUAUGACUACAUCGAUGUGGAAAUGACGGCAAGCGUCAUCCAGGCUGCAAAACAGACCUUCUGUUUUAUGAACAGGCGAGUUAUAUCCACAAAUCCGUACCGGGGAAGCACUGCCAAUGGCUACUCAUGUCCGAGUGGAAUGGCACUUCAUUAUGAUGAUGUUCCCUGCAUAAAUGGAUCGUGGGAACCCGAAGAUGGCUUUCCUUCUUCCCGUAGCAGGAACAUUGGAGAAGAAAUGCUUUAUGAUAAUGCAGGCCUGUACGAUAACUUGCCGUCUCCAAAAAUCUUUGCACGCUAUCCGCCAGCUGACAGAAAAACCAAUAGGUUAUCUACUGACAAACUCUCCUCUAACCAUUACAAACACCCUGUCUCAUCCAAUCUGUCUUCUGUUCAGUCUGUCACUAAUACCUCUGCUGUGGGGAGGGGAUCGGUCUCGCAGUUUAAAGGCAAGAAACCUCCUGCAACUGCUAAUGGGAUCUCGGGAAAAGUGAGAACAUUAAACAGCCAACCAAAGAAACCUGAGUCAGUGUCCUGUGUGAAGCGCACAGCAUCCAAUGCAGAGCAGUAUAAAUAUGGGAAGAAUCGCGUGGAGGCAGAUGCAAAGAGGCUACAGAGCAAAGAGGAGGAGCUGCUAAAGAAGAAGGAAGUGCUCCGGAAUAGGCUGGCCCAGCUCCGAAAAGAAAGAAAAGAUCUACGUGCUGCCAUUGAAGUCAAUGCUGGCAAGAAGACCCAAGUGAUUCUUGAAGACAAGUUAAAGAAGCUGGAAGAGGAAUGUAAGGCAAAAGAGGCUGAGCGUGUAAACCUGGAGCUAGAACUCACUGAGGUGAAGGAGAGCCUUAAGAAAGCCUUGGCUGGUGGCAUCACACUGGGCUUGGCUAUUGAGCCCAAGUCAGGAACAUCAAGCCCACAGUCUCCAAUUUUCAAGCACCGAACUUUGGAAAACUCUCCAAUCUCCAGUUGUGAUACCAGUGAUACUGAGUGCUCAAUACCUGUGAACAGUGCAGCAGCUUUGAAGCGACCACCUUCAUCAAAUAAUUCUCCAUGUCGAGGCCAUGUACUUCGAAAAGCAAAGACGGUGCAACCCAAGCUGUGCUCAGCCCAUUCGCAAGGAGCAGCAGCCAAAUCCUGCCAUCAGGUAUGCAUCUGCAGCACACCCGCCCUUCAGUGGGAGUUAAAUGUGCAUAUGUGAGGGUGGAAUUUGGCUCUCAAUUCUUUUGGCCUUUUGCAGUUAUGAGUGAGCCCAGGCCUUAUAGAUGUGGCUAAACAAAGGGAGUCGCACGAAUGGGAGAUGAAAAAUGGAACAUAAGUAUAGCAAAACCACUCACUUUCCAUAAAGGCCUUACCUAUUAUGGACCAAGACAUAGGCUGCAAAAGAUUCAUCCAAAAAGUGGUAUCAAGUGAUACGCCAUAAGAGGUUCUGUAAUUCUGUUAAGUUAAUGGUAGCUUGGCGCUAAUUUGCCUGUAUUCCCUCUACUGUAUUGCUGUGUAACUAUGUGUGCCCCUUUUUAUUACCUGUAACUAUUUAUUUCCAACUUCAUUGGUAACGAAAAUGAAAACCAAAAAGCAAACCAACCAUAGUAAGUAAAAAGAGGCAUAUAGUUGCAAUUGAAAGUUUACUUUGCUGAAACAGUAUAGACCAGCAAUGUUAAGUACAUUGCAUCAGAUGGCCUGAACAGAACUGAAGACCAGUGUGUUCUUUAAGAAUGAUGUAAAAUCAUUUCAGAUAUGCGCUCUUGCAGGGUAAUACUGCCUUGGAGAGCUCUGCUUGCCACAGAAGUUGCUGAGCCAAGGCUUGCUCAUUAGCAGUCACGCUGCUGUCCAUGUGGUAAAAGAAAACUGAAGAAAUGUGUUCACGGGGUUGUUCAUGACAUUCUUGAACUGAGAAGUCAGGAGCUCUUCAUUGCCACUGGCCUCAAUGGCAGUGAGAAACAGUAGAAUGACACAACUCAGCUGUGAAGAGUUCUCUGAUACUUUUUAAGACAGUUGCUUUUGUCAUUGGAAGAUAAAAAGCUGCCAUACUUUGAAAAAAAAAAUGCAUUUUAGUACAUUCUCUUUAUUCUGAAGCACCAGUCAUUUUCAAAGGUCAUGUUGUCAAGCAAUGAUUUGUUCCUGACUUUUUUAAAUGGCAAACAGGUAUUUUUAGAUAUUGCUUCUUUUCUAUACUUUUUUGAAAAAUAAAAAUAAUUGAAAUUAAUCAACAGAUAAUGGCAACUCAGAAUAGCUUAUGUGGUCAGUCUUUUUUUUUUUUUUAAUAAUAUAGUAUUGUUAAACUUGAGUUAUAGAACACUGCUGUACUUAGUUUCCUUCGUCUUUUCAGACCUCAGCUAUUAUUUUUGAGGAAGACGAGACUGAAAGGAAGAUAAUUUUAAGGCUCUUUUUAUAAACCUUUUUACAAGGAAUUGGGGAUUUUUCAGACAGGAGUCCAUUUCUGUUUACUAGGAAAAUGUGUCUUGCAUUUUAGUCUGUAAAAUUGUAGAUAUCUGUUCAUCUUUGUCUUUAUCUAUGUCACUCCUGCAAAGUUAUGUGCAGCAAAGUGCCAGCUGAAGUCCUUCAAAAUCUUAAGAUUGGCUUAAAAAAAUCAGGAGAGAGGAAAAAAAUAUAUAAUGAGUUGGGUUCUUUUAAUUUAUUCUCUGUGGUUUUUUUUUAAGCCUUUGGAGAGCUUUCAAUCACAUUCUCAAGAUUUUUCUCCUCAACUGAGGAUUAGAAAAUUACUUUAAUUAAAAAAAAAAAAUACUACUCAUAUUUUAAGAUAAUCAGAGAUGUUAGUGCUGGAAUCUUGAUAAUUACUUAAGUCUUGCAAGUAAAAUCACAGAGGUUGGCAAUACAGUAGUUAUCAGGGAUCAAAUCCUGUUAUGGUCCAGAGAUCCUGUUAUGGACACCAAAGGACUUCCCGAAGGAACUGUUAGGAUUGGCAAGCCCAGAGCCCCAGCACAGAGCUAUCAGAAAGAGCCAGCACUUAGCAGCUCCCCCAAAUCAGGUAUAUGCCAAGUGGUUUUGAAAAGCAUGUCCAUAAUGGUGCAGACAGAAGUGCUAAAUCCUGUUCCCAAAUGUGCCAGGCAUCGCAUUGACCCUUAGCAGAGGAGAAAUGGGGUCCAAGAUUGCAAAAGGCUCUUUGCUUCCUGGGACUGUGCAUUGUACAAAGUGCUGCAGGAAUGCAAAUACUAUAGAGAAGCAAGUGUCAGUGUGGUUUUCAUCGAAAACGAUUUUUUUGUAUUAUUGUCAGUCAUCUGCUUACUUAUUACUAUAAGCGGAGGGCACAUUCUAUGCUAUAUGACUAUGGACUAAACACUACCAAGUUCCCCAAAAUAUUAGCAGAAACAAAUCUGAAGCAAAAGUAAGUUCAUUUAGGCUUUUUAUUUCAAAUUAAGUUAUUUAUUUGUAUAUUUCAAUAAAUAUUUAAUUUAUAUCUGUACAUAUUUAUGAUGCAAAUUAGGCUUCUAGUAAACAUUUGCAAGGAUGUAACAGUUGCCAUUAAGAAGUGGUCCCGCAUCGAGUAAUGCGGAGUAAUCAAAAGCCAAAUUCCUUUGAGUCAGUCUUAUUUACCUAAUAUAAGCAUUGUAUCUUCCAUCCCCUUUCGCCCAUCCGCCUGCAGAGGCUCCUUAAAGCCACUUCCUCACCCCAUACUGUAUAGUUGCAUGUCUCUAAUGGUAACAUUGCAAUUAGCCUUUAGUGACAUGUCUAUUCUUUGUAAUGGCCAAGGUUUUCAAAGGAGGAAACAAAUAAAAACCCUCUAGAAAUAAUCUCUCAAUGGACCACAUCCAGUGCUGUGAAAUAUGUUCCAUUUUUUUAAUAGUACUGUUGCUGUGAAAUUUUUGUGAAAAGCAACAGAGCUUGUAUUUUCAAUGUUUUCAGGAUUUCAGGGUCACCAGGCAAAGUCAGUAAUAGAGCAGUAUGACUUUUUUUAAAUGAAAUUUAUUGUAUUUUAAACCAUUGCAUUUCUAUGUCUUUUGAGAAAAUGUUACACUUGUGCUUCCUCAACAAACUCCUGUUACUAUACCAGGUGCUUUUUUAUUUUUAUUUUUUUAAUGGGUGAUGCUUUUUUAAAAAACAGAUCAUAAUCUUAGGGGAUUAAAAUUUUUUUUUUUUUUUUUUUUUUUUAAUGAGAUGAUUGUGGCAAUUUGAGUUUUGAAAUGGAUAAUACUUAAUUUAGUAUCUCUUUUUAUUAUCAUUUAAGACACUUUCAAACUAAUUGGCCCAGGCUGUGUGUUGUAAGAUAAUGUUCUCAUAUUAAGAAUGUAAUUAUUUCCUUAUUGUAUUUUUUAAAAAACAAAAUCAUAUUUAAAAAUUUCUGUGAAAAAAGCAUGAAAGAAACAUGAAAAAAGUUUUUGUUUUAUUUUUGUUAUUGGAUAUGUUGGCAGUGCCCAUUAUAAUUGACUGUAAAUAUAGUCUUUCUACUGUAUUUCUCAAUGUAUUUAAUAUUUUUGGCACACAUUCAUGGAAACUUCUGUAAAAAAAAAAAAAAAAAAAAAGUCCAAAACAGACCCACCUACAAAUGUGUGUCUUAGUAGCUUCAACUAACUUUAUGCCUUUCUAGUUUAUUCUUCAGGAAGUCUUGCAGAGUGUGGAAAAAAAAAGACUGGCACCUGCUAGGUGCGACAGAUACAAGACCAUUAUUAAUAGUUACCUGUCAUAAAUAAAA